GGUGAGAUGGCCGAGUGGUUAUGGCGCCGUGUUCAGGUACUCCCGAGUUCACUUGGGAUAUCGAACAAAAUUCGCGGUGGAGCAAUCCGCGUGGGUUCGAGUCCCACUCUCAUCA